rnacentral:rRNA from 1 species
GAUCAUGGCUCAGGAUGAACGCUAGCUACAGGCUUAACACAUGCAAGUCGAGGGGAAACGACAUCGAAAGCUUGCUUUGAUGGGCGUCGACCGGCGCACGGGUGAGUAACGCGUAUCCAACCUGCCCAUCACUUGGGGAUAACCUUGCGAAAGUAAGACUAAUACCCAAUGACGUCUCUAGAAGACAUCUGAAGGAGAUUAAAGAAUUUCGGUCAUCGAUGGGGAUGCGUUCCAUUAGGUUGUUGGCGGGGUAACGGCCCACCAAGCCUUCGAUGGAUAGGGGUUCUGAGAGGAAGGUCCCCCACAUUGGAACUGAGACACGGUCCAAACUCCUACGGGAGGCAGCAGUGAGGAAUAUUGGUCAAUGGACGAGAGUCUGAACCAGCCAAGUAGCGUGCAGGAUGACGGCCCUAUGGGUUGUAAACUGCUUUUAUAAGGGAAUAAAGUGGGAGUCGUGACUCUUUUUGCAUGUACCUUAUGAAUAAGGACCGGCUAAUUCCGUG